rnacentral:misc_RNA from 1 species
UACGGAAUGUGCAAACGUUAUUCGGAAUCACUGGGCUUAAAGAGUCCGUAGGCGGCGCGGAAAGUUGGGUGUGAAAUCCCUCGGCUCAACCGAGGAAUUGCGCCCAAAACUUCCGUGCUCGAGGAAGAUAGAGGUGAGCGGAACUUAGGGUGGAGCGGUGAAAUGCGUUGAUAUCCUAAGGAACACCGGUGGCAAAAGCGGCUCACUGGAUCUUUUCUGACGCUGAGGCACAAAAGCUAGGGUAGCGAACGGG